rnacentral:rRNA from 1 species
GAUGAACGCUGGCGGCGUGCCUAAUACAUGCAAGUCGAGCGAACGGACGAGAAGCUUGCUUCUCUGAUGUUAGCGGCGGACGGGUGAGUAACACGUGGAUAACCUACCUAUAAGACUGGGAUAACUUCGGGAAACCGGAGCUAAUACCGGAUAAUAUUUUGAACCGCAUGGUUCAAAAGUGAAAGACGGUCUUGCUGUCACUUAUAGAUGGAUCCGCGCUGCAUUAGCUAGUUGGUAAGGUAACGGCUUACCAAGGCAACGAUGCAUAGCCGACCUGAGAGGGUGAUCGGCCACACUGGAACUGAGACACGGUCCAGACUCCUACGGGAGGCAGGAGUAGGGAAUCUUCCGCAAAGGGCGAAAGCCUGACGGAGCAACGCCGCGUGAGUGAUGAAGGUCUUCGGAUCGUAAAACUCUGUUAUUAGGGAAGAACAUAUGUGUAAGUAACUGUGCACAUCUUGACGGUACCUAAUCAGAAAGCCACGGCUAACUACGUG